ACGAAGGUCUUCGGAUUGUAAACUCCUUUUAAGGGGGAAGAAUUCCUGAGUGAAUAACUCAGAUUGACGGUACCCCUUGAAUAAGCCACGGCUAACUACGUGC
rnacentral:rRNA from 1 species